AUUUUUCUCCUUCCUCGCAGCCGCGCCGGGGAGCUCGCGGCGCGCGGCCCCUGUCCUCCGGCCCGAGAUGAAUGCUGCGGCAGAAGCCGAGUUUAACAUCCUCCUGGCCACCGACUCCUACAAGGUUACUCACUAUAAACAGUAUCCACCCAACACAAGCAAAGUUUAUUCCUACUUUGAAUGCCGUGAAAAGAAGACAGAAAACUCCAAAUUAAGGAAGGUGAAAUAUGAGGAAACAGUAUUUUAUGGGUUGCAGUACAUUCUUAAUAAGUACUUAAAAGGUAAAGUAGUAACCAAAGAGAAAAUCCAGGAAGCCAAAGACGUCUACAAAGAACAUUUCCAAGAUGAUGUCUUUAAUGAAAAGGGAUGGAACUACAUUCUUGAGAAAUAUGAUGGGCAUCUUCCAAUAGAAAUAAAAGCUGUUCCUGAGGGUUUUGUCAUUCCUAGAGGAAAUGUUCUCUUCACGGUGGAGAACACGGAUCCAGAGUGUUACUGGCUUACAAAUUGGAUUGAGCACAGACAUUGCAUCAUCUUAGCAGCUCUGUUUCAAACAGAUUUGAAGCUGCUUCUAAUGACAUACUAUCUGGUUUAUA
rnacentral:sRNA from 1 species